GAUGAACGCUGGCGGCGUGCUUAACACAUGCAAGUCGAACGGUGAAGCAGGAGCUUGCUCUUGUGGAUCAGUGGCGAACGGGUGAGUAACACGUGAGCAACCCGCCCCUGACUCUGGGAUAAGCGCUGGAAACGGCGUCUAAUACUGGAUAUGUGAUGUGACCGCAUGGUCCGCAUCUGGAAAGAAUUUCGGGUGGGGAUGGGCUCGCGGCCUAUCAGCUUGUUGGUGAGGUAAUGGCUCACCAAGGCGUCGACGGGUAGCCGGCCUGAGAGGGUGACCGGCCACACUGGGACUGAGACACGGCCCAGACUCCUACGGGAGGCAGCAGUGGGGAAUAUUGCACAAUGGGCGGAAGCCUGAUGCAGCAACGCCGCGUGAGGGAUGACGGCCUUCGGGUUGUAAACCUCUUUUAGCAGGGAAGAAGCGAAAGUGACGGUACCUGCAGAAAAAGCACCGGCUAACUACGUGCCAGCCGCCGCCGUAA
rnacentral:rRNA from 1 species